rnacentral:rRNA from 1 species
ACAUGGCGAACUGCUCAGUAACACGUGGACAACCUGCCCUUUGGACAGGGAUACCCCUGGGAAACUGGGACUAAUCCCUGAUAAGUCUCCGUAGCUGGAAUGCUCGGAGACGGAAAGCUCCGGCGCCACAGGAUGGGUCUGCGGCCUAUCAGGGUAGUAGUGGGUGUAGAGUACCUACUAGCCUACGACGGGUACGGGUUGUGAGAGCAAGAGCCCGGAGAUGGAUUCUGAGACACGAAUCCAGGCCCUACGGGGUGCAGCAGGCGCGAAAACUUUACAAUGCGGGACACCGCGAUAAGGGGACCUCGAGUGCUGGCAUACAAUGCCGGCUGUCCAGCUGCCUAAAUAGCAGUUGAUAGCAAGGGCCGGGCAAGACCGGUGCCAGCCGCCGCGGUAACACCGGCGGCUCGAGUGGUAACCGCUAUUAUUGGGUCUAAAGGGUCUGUAGCCUGCAGGUUAAGUCUCUUGGUAAAUCCGGCAGCUCAACUGUCGGGGUUCAGGGGAUACUGGUCUGCUCGGGACCGGGAGAGGUGAGAGGUACCUCAGGGGUAGGGGUGAAAUCUUGUAAUCCUUGAGGGACCACCAGUGGCGAAGGCGUCUCACCAGAACGGGUCCGACGGCAAGGGACGAAAGCUAGGGGCACGAACCGGAUUAGAUACCCGGGUAGUCCUAGCCGUAAACGAUACUCGCUAGGUGUCGGCCACGGUGCGACCGUGGUCGGUGCCGUAGGGAAGCCGUGAAGCGAGCCACCUGGGAAGUACGGCCGCAAGGCUGAAACUUAAAGGAAUUGGCGGGGGAGCACUACAACGGGUGGAGC